rnacentral:tRNA from 1 species
GCCGAAGUGGCGGAAUGGCAGACGCGCACGACUCAAAAUCGUGUGAGGCAACUCAUGAGGGUUCGACUCCCUCCUUCGGCA